UGUUUCUCUCUCCUCUUCUUUCAGGGUCCACGCGGUCUCCCCGGCGAGAGAGGGCGUAAUGGACCUGCUGGUGCUGCUGGUGCUCGUGGUAACGAUGGUCUGCCUGGUCCCGCUGGUCCUCCUGGCCCCGUGGGUCCCGCCGGUGCUCCAGGCUUCCCCGGAUCUCCAGGUUCUAAGGUAUGUGUUGGCUCAGGCAGAACCCGCCUGUAGAGCUGCAGAGAGGGAGCAGAAACAGCCAGUGAACCCCCCCCCGAGAGCUUUCACUGCCU